rnacentral:tRNA from 1 species
AAAGUUAUAGCUCAGUGGUAGAGCGUGUGCUCAGCAAGCAUGAGGUUGUGGGUUCAAUCCCAGUACAUCUA